rnacentral:rRNA from 1 species
UACGUAGGGGGCGAGCGUUGUCCGGAUUCAUUGGGCGUAAAGCGCGCGUAGGCGGCUUCGCAAGUCGGCCGUGAAAUCUCCGGGCUCAACUCGGAGGGGUCGGGCGAGACUACGAGGCUCGAGGUGGGCAGAGGGCAGUGGAAUUCCGGGUGUAGUGGUGGAAUGCGUAGAGAUCCGGAGGAACACCAGUGGCGAAGGCGGCUGCCUGGGCCUGGCCUGACGCUGAGGCGCGAAAGCGUGGGGAGCAAUCCGG